CCAGAUGGCGACCGGCGCACGGGUGAGUAACGCGUAUCCAACCUUCCCGUAUAGUAGAGAAUAGCCCGGCGAAAGUCGGAUUAAUGCUCUAUGUUGUGUUUUGAGGACAUCUGACGGAACACCAAAGGUUCACCGCUAUAGGAUGGGGAUGCGUCUGAUUAGCUUGUUGGCGGGUAACGGCCCACCAGGCGACGAUCAGUAGGGUCUGAGAGGAAGGUCCCCCACAUUGGUACUCGAGACACGGACCAAACUCCUACGGGAGGCAGCAGUGAGGAAUAUUGGUCAAUGGGCGAGAGCCUGAACCAGCCAAGUAGCGUGCAGGACGACUGCCCUAUGGGUUGUAAACUGCUUUUAUCAGGGAAUAAAGUGCGGCACGUGUGCCGUUUUUGUAUGUACCUGAUGAAUAAGGACCGGCUAAUUCCGUGCCAGCCGCGGC
rnacentral:rRNA from 1 species